rnacentral:lncRNA from 1 species
AGUGACUGGGAGUGGAAGUGCUUUCAAAAUCCUGAUGUACCUCUGUUUUCUGUAACCCUGUCAGCCUGAAGAAAAGUGAUGGAACAUUUCUAUUUUUGAAAGAGCAAUAUAUUGUGUAAGAGAAAGAAAAUAAAGUUUGAGAAAUAGUUCUUACUCAAAAUAAUGGGUGAAGUGGGUGAAUAUCAGACAGCUCAUUAUAGAGACAUGCAAGCUGCAUUCCCAAAGUAGGAUGACAGAACAAGUCAUGUUCAUUUGCCUCCCUUGCCCUGA